GGAAUAUUGCACAAUGGGGGAAACCCUGAUGCAGCAACGCCGCGUGAAGGAAGACGGGUUUCGGAUUGUAAACUUCUUUUCUUAGUGAAGAAGAAAGUGACGGUAGCUAAGGAAUAAGCAUCGGCUAACUAUGUGCCAGCAGCCGCGGUAAUACGUAGGAUGCGAGCGUUAUCCGGAAUUACUGGGUGUAAAGGGAGCGCAGGCGGGACUGCAAGUUGGAUGUAAGAUGCCGCAGCUUAACUGCGGAGCUGCAUCCAAAACUGUAGUUCUAGAGUGGAGUAGAGGCAAGAGGAAUUCUGAGUGUAGCGGUGAAAUGCGUAGAUAUUCGGAGGAACACCAGUGGCGAAGGCGGCUUGCUGGGCUCUAACUGACGCUGAGGCUCGAAAGUGUGGGGAGCAAAC
rnacentral:rRNA from 1 species